AUUGAACGCUGGCGGCAUGCCUUACACAUGCAAGUCGAACGGCAGCGCGGGGCAACCUGGCGGCGAGUGGCGAACGGGUGAGUAAUAUAUCGGAACGUGCCCUGGAGUGGGGGAUAACGUAGCGAAAGUUACGCUAAUACCGCAUACGAUCUGAGGAUGAAAGCAGGGGACCUUCGGGCCUUGUGCUCCUGGAGCGGCCGAUAUCUGAUUAGCUAGUUGGUGGGGUAAAAGCCUACCAAGGCGACGAUCAGUAGCUGGUCUGAGAGGACGACCAGCCACACUGGAACUGAGACACGGUCCAGACUCCUACGGGAGGCAGCAGUGGGGAAUUUUGGACAAUGGGGGGCAACCCUGAUCCAGCAAUGCCGCGUGUGUGAAGAAGGCCUU
rnacentral:rRNA from 1 species